UGGUACAACCUAAAACGUCAGGUCGAGGUGUAGCGUAUGGAAGGGGAAGAAAUGGGCUACAUUCGCUACUACAGCGAACACGAAAGAUGCACUGAAACGUACGCCUGAAGGAGGAUUUAGCAGUAAGCAGGAAAUAGAGCGUCCCGCUGAAAUCGGCCCUGAAGCGCGCACACACCGCCCGUCACUCUCCCCAAAAACACCCACUCAAUUAAUUAAAACCUGAUAAUCAUAGAGGGGAGGCAAGUCGUAACAUGGUAAGUGUACCGGAAGGUGCACUUGGAAAAAUC
rnacentral:rRNA from 1 species